GAAUAUUGGUCAAUGGGCGAAAGCCUGAACCAGCCAUGCCGCGUGAGUGAUGAAGGCCUUAGGGUUGUAAAGCUCUUUCGGCGGGGAAGAUAAAGACGGUACCCACAGAAGAAGCCCCCGCCAACUUCGUGCCAGCCGCCGCGGUAAUACGAAGGGGGCUAGCGUUGUUCGGAAUCACUGGGCGUAAAGCGCGCGUAGGCGGGUCGUUAAGUCAGGGGUGAAAUCCCGAGGCUCAACCUCGGAACUGCCUUUGAUACUGGCGACCUGGAGUCCGGGAGAGGUGAGUGGAACUCCUAGUGUAGAGGUGAAAUUCGUAGAUAUUAGGAAGAACACCAGUGGCGAAGGCGGCUCACUGGCCCGGUACUGACGCUGAUGCGCGAAAGCGUGGGGAGCAAACAGG
rnacentral:rRNA from 1 species